rnacentral:rRNA from 1 species
GACGAACGCUGGCGGCGUGCUUAACACAUGCAAGUCGAACGGAAAGGCCCUGCUUUUGUGGGGUGCUCGAGUGGCGAACGGGUGAGUAACACGUGAGUAACCUGCCCUUGACUUUGGGAUAACUUCAGGAAACUGGGGCUAAUACCGGAUAGGAACUCCUGCUGCAUGGUGGGGGUUGGAAAGUUUCGGCGGUUGGGGAUGGACUCGCGGCUUAUCAGCUUGUUGGUGGGGUAGUGGCUUACCAAGGCUUUGACGGGUAGCCGGCCUGAGAGGGUGACCGGCCACAUUGGGUCUGAGAUACGGCCCAGACUCCUACGGGAGGCAGCAGUGGGGAAUAUUGCACAAUGGGCGGAAGCCUGAUGCAGCAACGCCGCGUGCGGGAUGACGGCCUUCGGGUUGUAAACCGCUUUCGCCUGUGACGAAGCGUGAGUGACGGUAAUGGGUAAAGAAGCACCGGCUAACUACGUG